AUACGGCUUCACAGAGGUCCCUGCUGCCCAGAUAUGACAGCUGUGGUCUAAGAGGAGCCUAAAUAAACACUUUUCCUGACAGCCGCUGGUCAGUUCGUUGACCCAGUGACAGAAAAGGAGGACG